rnacentral:lncRNA from 1 species
UUGAGGCAUGAAGAGAGAAUCACUCAGCUUUAGUGCUAUGGUCCUCUUGUCCCCUGCUCGUGAGGCAUCCCACAAUGUGAAUUUUACUAAGGUGUGGCAGAGACCAGUUCAUUAUAUGGAACGGAUCAUCAGUUUCCUUUGCUAUCUAAAACGAGUGAGUAUUUAGUCACAUCCUUUGCUGCAGAUAGAAGUGACAAAUCUUGGGAAAUUGGCUACUACUACUUACAACUCUGCAGUAUCCAAGCAGUUUCAGGAACUUUAAGGAAGAUCAAAUACCCAAGGUGCUGGAUCCUCUCCUGGUGUUAAUCAGCAUAGUUUCACAGGGCUUAAUGGAACUAUGUCAAGUUCUGCUAUCUGCGGAUAUGGCCCCAGGGUUUUAUAACAAGGGUCAGGGAAUUCCUAAUUAAUAUGAAAUUAAUGUUUGCUCCCAAAUUCUCUCUCAUAUACAAUACGCUCAAUUUUUCAGUGAAGAAUCAAGUUGACAUUUGGUAACUGCUUACAAAAACAUACCAGGUCCGACUGUGCGGCUAUUGAAGCCAAUGGCAAAGCUCCCUUGACUGGUAUAAGAGCCACGGCAGGCUGACAUUUAUAAAAUCCAAGCAACACUUGAUUGAGCUGGAGAGGGCCUCUGGGGGUCUCACACAAGCCCCUGGUUGAAGUUUCCAGGCCUCAGGUUGUUUUUUUCCCCCUGUGGGGUUGGGACAAAGGAGCCACUAGUUCACCUACUCGUGAGGGCUGCCAGAGCUUUUACAAGAGGAACCACACAUGAGUAGACCAGCUUCUGCACACUAGUGGCACCCGGAGGAAUGGGAGCUGGUGCCAGCAAAAGCUACAAGACAACCCCAGCUGCUGCUGAAAAAUACGGCUGGCAGCUCCAGAAGCUGAGGAAAGUUGCAUCUAGCAAGUGCUGGGAGGACAGGCAGUGUGGUGGACUGCUUGAGGACUGGGUGACAUGGCAGAGGCCUCCAGGCUGGCUGAACAAUGGCUAUAAGCAAACGCCUAGAGCUGACUGUGCCAUUAAGAAAACUUCAGGGAGCAAAAGAUAUAAUGGUGACCUAAAAUUGAAAUUGACCCCCAUUUCUGCAAAGACUUUCACACAUGCUUGGCAUUAUGCCUGUAA